UUUAAAUACCCCUGGGAAGUGGUAUUUGAGCAUCUUGAGCAUCUCUGGGGGAUGGUGUCAUCAUGGUGGACUUUCUGAGAUGCAUUAGGGUUUGGAGAGAGAGAGGGGAGGGGCCGGGGUGAAGCUUCCACCAUCACACCAGUCAUAAACUUUAUUUGCCUGAGGUAAAGAUCAAAUCUGACUGCAAUUCCUGCUUCCAGUUGGUGCAAAAUAAAAUCCCAAAGAGCAUGAAUUUCUUCCAGUGCAGAAAUCUUAGAGAUGGAGGUGGAGAUGGGACUGAAUGGGCUGCCCUUUGAAAAACAAGACCAAGUUCACACCGUGACAAACCACCCUACCCCCUCUUCCUGAAGUACAUCUUGGGGACUUUCUGCCCAGACGUUCAGGGUUCCAUCUGAAGUCAUUCCCCCUUAAGAGCUGGCCAAAGUUUGUGAGGCUACUUUUGCUUUUCAGGAUUGGACAAUGAGCUAUUAACACUGUAGAGCAAAUGAGAAGGAGAGACCCAUUAAAGAGUUUGUGAGUAGCAACUGGGAUCAACUGUUACUGAAUGUUGUGCCUCGCUGGCUGGCUGUGACUAUGACUGAAACCCUGGAGGAACUUUCCAGAAUGCCUACAUGGCCAUGACAAUUGAAAUUCAAAGAAAACUGCUUAACCCCCUAAGCUGGAAUGAUCCCCACUCUCUUCCUCGCUUUACUGAAAUUCCCUGACUGUGAGGCAUUUAUUCUGUAGCCCUUGGAAAGUAGUAGAGAAUUCUUAAAGUAACACUGGAGGGACACGCCUCCCUACCUCUUUGCCAGUACUGGGAGGCUUGAUUGACCUUUUAAAAACCAGUUCCCACAUCCCAGCAUCUACCGCAGAGCCAAGUGCAUGGCAAAUGCUUCGUGAUUGAGUGAAUUAACAACCCAAGUAAAGCUGCAUUUUGUUGUAAAGAUUUUCCCAGUGGUGUGAGGGAACACCACAUCUUCUUUUUGAUGUCGAGAGAACUGGUUUCUUGUGCCACUCACUCAGUUGUCGCUGAAUGCAGAAUGCCGCCUAUUCCUGACUUCCCAAGUGAUGAAAACAGUUAACCUGGAUUGAGCUACCAGAAAAGUCUCAGCACUGAUUCCUGCUCAGUCUGAAGGGAUAAAGGUCACAUUGGAGAGACCCCUGCCACAGAGGGAAGAACUUUACUCCUUUCAUUGCUUU
rnacentral:lncRNA from 1 species